UUAAUUCAUUUUUACAGUCUUGUGUGUGUGUCUGUGCAGGUACAUGUUAGUGUGUAUGAGUGCACACAACCUUGAGUGCCAUGGAGGAGGUCAAAGGACAAUCUUGAGUGUCUGGGGAGCUCAUUGAUAGAAGAUUUGAAAGUAUCUCAUGCAACCAAGAGAAAUGCAUAGAGCAAAGAAGAAUGAGUUGAGUCAAAUAAGAAGACAGCCUCAAUAACCAUGAUGCAGAAUUAUUUGGUCAUACUAAGCCAACAGUAUAGACAAGUUUACUUUGAAGGUACAAUUGCCAGAUCAUUCUUUAGGGUUGGAAAUGCACCGAAAAGAGCAAGAAUUCAUUCUAGAUUUCUAAACAAGCUAUGCCUCAACCAUCCACUUAUAAGUGUCAGAAGUACUCCAUUUUAACUGUUCUAUUUGUCCUUAUGUUUUUGUACAUGUAGUACAUGGGAUCACUAUCAUGUAAGAGAUAUUGUGAAAACAAUAGAGAAAAGCAUAAGCACAUUCAAUAAAUCUUCAAUGUCUGCUGUGUGAAA